UUGUCCAACCACGUCGUGCACCUACCCGCUGACAAAGUAUUUUGAUUGGUGUGGCUGCCUCGGGACGGUUGUUGGUAGGAAGUAGCCUACAGAUUCUGCCCGCACUCUCACUCAGCUCAAUACCGCUGUAGAAAUGUGAUGGAUUAGAGAAAUAUGUGCCUCGGUUGUCAAUAUGUUGUUCCCCGGCGUUUUCUAUGCGCUUCUGGCGGGGUUUCUCGGGGCUGUCGCAUCUUCAUCUGCAAAGCUGUCACUUGGAGCCGAUUACCUAAAAGGUGUAUGUGAAACGGGGCUACGAACAUGGGGAGAGCAGCGAAAAUUUAGACAACCUGACGAAACUACCGCUUGUGACUGGCUACACAUCCCACUGAGGCUGAUUUGUGGGGGGCUGCUCUUCACCUGUAAUGCUGUGAUGUGGACGUUCCUCGCUAAGGCGCUCCGGUACUCUUCCUCCUCCACCCGAACCACUGUGACCACUACCGCUUCCAACUUCGUAUCUUCCGCCUUUUUGGGGCAGCUUAUCUUUGGGGAGACCCAGAUUGCGUUGUGGUGGGUGGGAAUCUCCCUCACGUUCUCUGGCCUCCUGGUGCUUCAGAGGGCGGCCCCCAACGACCGAGCCAGGAAGGACGAAUGACAACCUGUCGGAAGGCACAACUCAUUAAGUGAUCUAUAAAGAAACCAGUAAUGCAACCUAUAGCCUACUAUCUGUGACAAACAAUGGCAUUUCUCGGGUGAACGGCAGCCAGGGCAACUUUGGAAGGGAAAGCACUGUCAAAACAUACCAUGUAAGGAACAUAGAGUGAUUUAUCGUUUGAAACACUUUGACAUCCUCAGCAAUGUGUGCUUGCCAUCGAUUCUUCACCAUGCUUACACUCUCUGCUUCAGAUCACAAAAGCUUUCAUUUUGCUCACCUAUCCUAAGAUGACACGCGCUGUAGACUUCCACAACAACAUUGCGUCAUCGCAUGCUCAAGGUGAUGCGUGGACCCGAAGUGAUAUAAGUCUCACAAAUACUGCUACUGCUAGACAUGCGCAAAUACAGCAAACACAUAGAUAUUCUCAUCGCUUACUACAGUAUCACACAUGACGUGGCUCAGAGAAUACACUUCAUGGCCUUGAUAGGAACUUCUGUUGUGUCAUGUUUAUAGCCGAAUACAUUGAGGGCUUGACCCUCACACAUGUUUUGUGGAUUCUGAGGAGGUUUGGCCUUGCCUGCCUUUUUUAUAGCAAAUGUCUAAAAGAAAGUUCCUAACAAGGUCUAAACCCAAGUAAUUUGAACCAAAGUACACAAAUAUGUUGAUCCUGCCUGGUAUCCACUGUAACCACAGCAAGGCUCUGUCAAUGCAAUGUGAAGUCAAACUGCUAAAGUGGCCCGAAAAAAUCCUACUGACCUUCUCAGCUGCCUGUAAAGUGAUACGGUUUAGUUCACUCCAAAAUCAAAAUAUGUAAGACAUUUUCAAACCUCAAAAGUGGUCUAAUGUUGAGAUGAGACCAACUCCAAUGAAUGGAAAGGAUAGGCACCGUCUAACUUAAUAAUUUGUGAACUAUCGCUUAUUUCCUUUGGCAGAAGGGAAUUAAUUUGACUUAAUUCUGACUUAAUAGGGUGUCCAAACAACAGUUACUCCAAUGUCUGGCCUUUUAAUUGAGUGCCACCAGCUUUUGUGUUUCAGCUGUAGACCUGUGUCACGUAUAAUGUCCAUCCUAGUUUUCCAUUGCAAUUAAACCCAGUUUGAGGUUAUCCUCGGGGUAAGGGAACCAUCCCGUAGCACAGUCCCUCCCUCUGCAUCUUCCUAGACUUCCAAAAGGUCAAACGUUGCUGUGGGGUUUUCGAACCAAACUACAGAAAGUGGUGUUCUAUAACUAGCAUGUUUGUACUCCAACAGUGUACUUCCCUGACAUUCCUUAACACUGUGAUGUGCUAUUGUGGAAAUGGGCUUUGUGCGUAAUACCGACAACAAACAUUACUGUAGACAGGAGUUUGACUUUACAACUUUACUAUACGAUCAAACUUUGCUGUUUUUUUUAUACAUAUCAAAUGCAUGCAACAACUAAGAGUAGCUACCUGUAUUCUGACUGUAUCUAUUAGACGAUGAUGAUGUGUCUGUAUAAAUGCAGAAGAACGCACACUAUGAAAUCGGUUCUCCUUCCAGUUGCAGUACAUUACAGACUGCAGGUUGUGUGUGUAAUGUAAUCUACUUCCCUGGCAAUGUGACUAUCUAUGCUAUUGAAUCAGGACGGGAGAAAUUGGUGCCGAACAUUUCUCCUGUGUUCUCAAGUCAGAUAAACAUUUACCUGUGACGCCACCGUCACCGAGGGCAAGAGGAAUCAAAUGCAUUAGAAUAGUGGUUACAUGAAACUUCUUUUGUUCGCCAGCCCCUGAAUGGGUCACAUUUGUUUGAACGAGUAUACUGUAGAUAUGGAUAUUAUAAACUGUAGAGAUUAGUUUGGGAGGUGCAUAUGACUGACCUGAUAAACUCUGUGUUCCUGAUUAGUGCAGCACGGGGGCCCUACAGGAGGAAUAAAGAAAGGGAAUGUAUUAUAAAUAAAAAAGUAUUAUUAAGAAUCCUUGAAAUGGUUACUUGGACAAGCCACCUCCCCAUCCUUUGAAUAUGUUGCUCUUAGGAAAUUGUGUAUGAUAAGUGAGGAAGUCUCAGAAAAUGGCUGUUAGCCAAUAGAAUUAGAUUGCACAUACUGCUGCUGUGUCUGUGUGUGACAAACUGUCAUAAUUUCUUGGACAACAGAUGCAGAGAGAAACAGGUGUUUGGGCAGACCUAAAUCUAUUUUUUUUUUUAUAAACCAUAUCUAGUCUAACAACCUAUUUUAAACUAACAUUUGUAAGUGUCAAUAUUUUCAAUUUGAUGGUGCACAAUGUUGAAUAAACCUCAUCUAGGAAAGUGAACUUGUUGAUCUAAAAUUAAAACGACCAUCAAUGGAAAGAGAUCCACAUCCAGGCAGCAUUUUUAAGAUUACAGUCCAGUAAACUUCUCAGAUUAGCUAAUAAAUUGACUCUGACAAAGGCCAGUGUGCUAUUAGCAUACCAAGUAAAGCAUACAAUAAAUUGAAACUGUACAGACAAAA